ACAGACUAUAUUUUCUCUAAAUAUUCUCUUUCUUAGAAAAAUACUAGGUAUCUUCUACAUGCGUGAGUAAGAGACACCUCUUCCAUCAGGGAAAGGUAAUAAAUAGUGUAUAUGUAAGUAUAAGGAAGAUCUGAUUAAAGAUUUUUUCUAUGUUUUAUUAUGUUCAAGAAAUAAAAAGUUUGUUUCAUAUAUCCUUUGCCACUCUUUUGUGCUAGUAAAAAUUAAAGGUUGUGAUCUUCAGCCUUAACUGAGGAAGGAUGGAACAGUAGCUUGAGACAGUGAGUCACAAUAGGCUAAAAAGUUCUUCAUAUCCAAAAGGAGAAGUCGAAUGAUGGUUAAGAGAUGUGGUUUUACUUCUACUAGUCGAUCUAAUACACCUGCUAGACGUGGUGCUGGAUAUGAUUUUACCCAUGAUGGUGGUCGCUUUGGGUCUUAUUUGACUAGGCUGCAGACUAGGAUACAAACCGGUCCUCAGCCUGAAGUUGGGAAAUGGGGCCAACCCUAAGUUGUUUCUUCUGAGCAAGUGCAUAAUCAGGCUGAUUGGGAUGCUCCAAAAACAGUGCCAAUUUUUGUACCUACUAUUACAUUGCCUGUGGACGCAAUGGUAGGAUUUUUAAAUGUACUUGAGGCAUUGGUUGCUAAUCAGGGUCGAGAUCUAGCUCCUCGCACUACUUCACAAAGACAGACACAAAUUCAGUUGAAUAUUGCAGCUUCUCAAGCACCUCAAACAAUUUAUCAUUAGGUUGUAGUUAUGGGGAAACCUAAGGAUAUUAAGCCACAAGAGUUUGAUAUUACAGUAUCUACUACUGAGCCUCAAAAUUUUAUUGAUUAUUGUGAGAAGAUACUGACUAUGGGAUUGAAAGAGACUUGUGGCAUAGAAUUUACCAUUUUUCUGUUCUUAGGGUCUCCUGAGGCAUAGUGGACUUUUAUUUUGAGGGGUAGACAAUCAGGACUACCACCGAUCACUUAGUUAGAUUUUUCAGCAGUAUUUAUAAACAGAUUUAUUCUUUUUAGCAAAUAAGAUAACAUAAGACACCAGUUUAAUGACCUGUGAUAGGGAUCUAUGACAGUUACUGAAUAUAAAGCUAAGUUCACUAAAUUAUCCAAGAUUUAUGGAUGGACUUGAGGCUCAUUAUUGUCGUCCUAUGAUAUGGGAUGUGCAUAAUGGAUCCUAUGCUGAGGUGGUUGACACUUCUCUCUAUUCUGAGUCUUAUUAUGAGAUGGAGAAGAUUAAUUAAUAAAACAAAAAGGUAUGUAACUCACAUAGGUUUAGUUGUGCUCUGUUUGGGAGAAAGAGUGAUUUUCAUCAUGGACAGUCUAAGACUACGCAGUCAGAGUUAGUGGGUCAAUCUUUAAGGAAUAGUUAUCUAGCUAGAUAGGGUCAACAAUCGAUGCAGAGAAAGGGUAGCAGUUCUUUUUAGUCUAGACAACAUCCAAAAUGUUCUAAUUAUGGUAGGAACCAUAGUGGGCAUUAUUUUGGAGUUUGUGGUCCUUGAAAUACUUAUGGUGAAAGAAGGCAUAUUGCUAAUUUUUGUCCUAAGGGAGAUUUGGUUCUAGUCAAGACACUGUAUAGGUGUAGAGAGAUAUCGUAGGUACUCAUUCUCAUGCUCAGCCAGCUAGAAUCCCUCCACAAGGUGUUUGUAGAAAAGGUCAACAAGGUUCUUAAAAAGAAGGUGGACCACCGAGAUUCCUUGCUAUGGCUAGAUAGUACAUAGGGGCAUCUAAUGCAAUAGUUAUAGGUAUUAUCACUGUAAAUUCUCAUGAGGCAUAUUCUCUUAUCGAUUCUGGUCCUACAUAUUCAUAUAUGCCUUCAUUUUUUGCUGUAUUCUUAUAAAGAAGGAUUGAGAAUAUUAUUAUUCCAUAUAUUUUUAUGACCCCAGUAGGGGAGACCAUAUCAUCGGAUAAUGUUUAUAGAGAUUGUGUGAUAUCUAUUUAGGGUAAGGACACCAUAGUUGAUCUUAUUUUAUUGUCAAUGUCUGAUUUUGAUGUGGUUAUGGGUAUGGAUUGGUUAGCGUCAUGUUACACUUUGGUUGAUUAUUAUGCUAAGCUUAUACGUUUUGAUAUUCCUGGAUAACCAUCUUAAGUGUGAAAAGCUAUGACUCUUGUGACUCAGGGAAAGAUAAUAUCUAAUGUAAAAACACUUGGAAUGAUUAAUAAUGGGUGUUUGAAUUUUAUUGCUACUGUCCAUAACACUCGAGCAUAAGAUGUUGCUAUUGACAAUGUUCUUAUUGUUUGAGAAUUUGUUAAUGUAUUCCUAGAUGAUUUUCCUUGGCUACCUCCAAUAGGAGAAAUUAAGUUCAACAUUGACUUUGUGUCAGGGGCUCAACCUAUCUCUAUUUCACCUUAUCAUAUGGCUCCAGCUGAGUUGAGAGGAUUGAAGGUUCAACUCCUGGUAUUAUUUUAUUAGGGAUUCAUCUGGCCUAGUAUGUCAUCUUAGGGUGCACCUAUGCUAUUUGUGAAAAAUAAAUAUGCCACAAUGAGAAUGUGCACUGACUACAGGGAUUUAGAUAAGGUAACAAUCAAGAAUAAAUAUCCUUUGUCUCGUAUUGAUGGUCUAUUCGAUAAUUUACAUGGUGCUACUUACUUUUUAAAAUUUACUAAGAUUGGGUUAUCAUCAGCUAGGAGUCAAGGCUGAAGAUAUCACUAAGACAACUUUUUAGACUAGGUAUGGGCAUUUUGAAUUUUUAGUAAUGUCGUUUGGAUUGACUAAUGCACCUGCAACAUUUAUGGACCUCAUGAACAUGGUAUUCAAGCCAUACUUAGACCAUUUUGUGAUUGUGCUCAUUGAUGACAUUUUGGUCUACUCUCGAAGUUAGGAAGAAUAAAGGCAACACUGGAGAGUUGUGCUGCAGACACUUAGAGAACAAAAGCUUUAUGACAAGUUCUCAAAGUGUGAGUUUUGGUUGGGCAUGUUUUAUUUUUGGGUCAUGUGGUGUCAAUAGAUAAGAUUCAUGUUGAUCCAAAGAUCUAAAGACGAUUGAAGAAGUUCUAGAUUGGCCUUGACCUAGUACUAUUAGAAAGAUUUAUAUUUUCUUGGGACAAAUUAAUUAUUACAAGAGGUUUGUAGAGGGUUUCACGAAGGUAGCCGCUCCAUUUACCAGCUUGCCUAAAAAAAUAUGGUUUUUCAGCGGUUAGAUGAAUUUGAAUAAAGUUUUCAAAAAUUAAAGAAGGCAAUGAUUUUGGUUUUGAUUUUGACUUUACCUACGAGAGAGGGUGGUUUCACUAUUUAUUAUGAUGCAUCUCGAAUUGGAUUGGGUUGUGUUUAGAUGUAGAAUGGUAAAAUGGUGGCAUAUGUCUCUCGACAGUUAAUAGUCCAUGAGAAGAAUUAUCCGAUUCACGACUUAGAACUGGUUUGCGAUUGUAUUUCCACUCAAGAUCUGGCAUCACUAUAUUUAUUGUGAGCCAUGUGAAAUUUAUACUGAUCACAAGAAUCUUUCAUACUUAUUUAAGAAAAGAGAUUUGAAUCUAAGACAACAACGGUGGUUAGAGUUACUUAAAAUUAUGAUCUCACUAGCUUGUAUCAUCCUAGGAAGGUGAAUAUGGCAACAAACACCUUGAGUAGGAAGUCUAUGGAAAGCUUGGCUCGAUUUGCUACAGAAAGGUGACCUAUGGUUAUAGAUAUUCAGCCUUUAGCCAAUCAUGGAGUUUGAAUUGAUCACAUGAUGCCUGGCAAGUUAUUUACAAUUAUGGUGGUUCAGUCAUCCUUAGUUGGGCAAGUUAAGACUUGCCAAUAUGAUGAUCCCUACCUUGUUAGGCUUUGAGAUCAAGUGCCAAAUGAUGGUGUUAAGUCUUUCACUAUUGAUGGUGAAGUCACGCUAAUUCAUCAUAGGAGAUUAUGUGCUCCCACUGUGGGUGAUAUGAGGCAACUAAUUCUUUAAGAGGCUCAUAGCUCACGAUACUUUAUCCACCUUGGUGAUACGAAACUUUAUCAAGACUUGCACGAAUUGUACUAGUGAAAAGUAUGAAUAUUGAUAUUUUGAAAUAUGUGACUAGUUAUUUAAAUUGUCAGUAGGUCAAAUAUACACAUAAAACCUGGUGGAAUGAUGCAAAAAUUGACUAUCCCUAAGUAGGAAAAAAUUACUAUGGAUUUCAUUAUUGGGUUGCCAAAUACCUUCAAAAAGCACAACUUAGUUUGGGUGAUAGCGGAUAGACUUACAAAAUCUUCCCAUUUCAAACCUGUUUGGGUUACUUAUAACGUGGAACAGUUAGCAAAAAUUUACCUCCAGGAGAGAGUUCGGCUUCAUGGUGUGCCUAUUUCAAUCAUAACUAAUCACGAUGCAUAAUUCACUCCUAAGUUUUGGAAAUCUUUUCAGCGAUGGGCAGUCUGAAGGAGUUAUUUAGAUCUUGAAGGAUAUGCUUAAAGCUUGCACGAUUGAUUUUGGUGGCCAUUGGGAUGACCAGUUUCCUUUUAGUGAGUUUGGUUAUAACAAUAUCUACUAGUAUAGCAUUCAAAUGACACCAUAUGGGGCUCUGUAUGAUUGCAAAUAUUGUUCACUAAUUGGAUAGUUUGAGCCCGGCGAAGCACAAUUAUUAGGUCCAUAUUUAGUUCAACAAGCAUUGGAGAAAAAUUUAGUAAUACGGGACCAACUUAAGACGUCACGAAGCAGGUAGAAGACCCAUGCAGAUAAGAGGGUCCGUCAUUUGGAGUUUGAAAAAGGAAAAAAAAGUCUUUUUGAAAGUUUCUCCCAUGAAAGGAAUUAUGUGAUUUGACCGAAAAGGUAAGCUAAGUCCUAGAUACAUUGGUCCUUAUGAGAUUUUGGACUGAAUUG